AGAGUUUGAUCAUGGCUCAGGACGAACGCUGGCGGCGUGCUUAACACAUGCAAGUCGAACGGAAAGGCCCGCUUGCGGGUACUCGAGUGGCGAACGGGUGAGUAACACGUGGGCAACCUGCCCUCAGCUCUGGGAUAACUCCGGGAAACCGGGGCUAAUACUGGAUAUCAACUUCUGCCUCGCAUGGGGUGUUGUUGAAAGUUUUUCGGCUGGGGAUGGGCCCGCGGCCUAUCAGCUUGUUGGUGGGGUGAUGGCCUACCAAGGCGACGACGGGUAGCCGGCCUGAGAGGGCGACCGGCCACACUGGGACUGAGACACGGCCCAGACUCCUACGGGAGGCAGCAGUGGGGAAUAUUGCGCAAUGGGCGGAAGCCUGACGCAGCGACGCCGCGUGAGGGAUGACGGCCUUCGGGUUGUAAACCUCUUUCAGCUCUGACGAAGCGAGAGUGACGGUAGGAGCAGAAGAAGCACCGGCCAACUACGUGCCAGCAGCCGCGGUAAUACGUAGGGUGCAAGCGUUAUCCGGAUUUAUUGGGCGUAAAGAGCUCGUAGGCGGUUCGGUAAGUCGGGUGUGAAAACUCUGGGCUCAACCCAGAGAGGCCACCCGAUACUGCUGUGACUAGAGUGCGGUAGGGGAGCGGGGAAUUCCUGGUGUAGCGGUGAAAUGCGCAGAUAUCAGGAGGAACACCAGCGGCGAAGGCGCCGCUCUGGGCCGUAACUGACGCUGAGGAGCGAAAGCAUGGGUAGCAAACAGGAUUAGAUACCCCGGUAGUCCACGCCGUAAACGAUGGAUGCUAGCCGUUGGUGGGUUUACCCUUCAGUGGCGCAGCUAACGCAUUAAGCAUCCCCCCCUGGGGAGUACGGUCGCAAGAUUAAAACUCAAAGG
rnacentral:rRNA from 1 species